UUUGCUAUAUUUGAGAUCA
rnacentral:siRNA from 1 species